CCGCCCCUCUCCUCGCGAGAGGGAGCUCUGCUAGACUUCGGCGGCGGCUGUCACGUGAUGAGCCGGGUCUGGCUAGUUGGUUAAUAAGUGGCCUAAAGAAGUCCUGCGUGCUUGGGGGAGAAAGCCGAGGACCCUCAACAAGUGAUCCCAGAACAUGGUUGCUCUCCAUCCAGGGCACAGCCUCUCCAUCUGUCCUGGUGGGCUUCACUGUUCUGGAUUCCAAGCAGCAACGGAAAGCUAAGGGAGACAGCCAUCACUCCCGUUUUCUCCAGGACGGGUGUGUGCACUUCUGCCGAGCACACACCUAGUGCUAGAAUUGCUGCUUUGAAUACUACA